rfam:Parcubacteria bacterium GW2011_GWA1_47_9 TY14_C0017, whole genome shotgun sequence.
GGGCCUAUAGUUCAGUGGUAGAACGCAUCCAUGGCAUGGAUGAGGUCGGAGUUCGAUUCUCCGUAGGUCCA